rnacentral:rRNA from 1 species
GAUUGAAACGCUAGCUACAGGCUUAACACAUGCAAGUCGAGGGGCAGCAUUUCGCUAGCAAUAGUGAAGAUGGCGACCGGCGCACGGGUGAGUAACACGUAUCCAACCUGCCGAUAAACUCGGGGAUAGCCUUUUCGAAAGAAAGAUUAAUAUCCGAUGGCAUAUUAAAACCGCAUGGUUUUUACUAUUAAAGAAUUUCGGUUGUCGAUGGGGAUGCCGUUCCAUUAGUUUGUUGGCGGGGUAACGGCCCACCAAGACUACGAUGGAUAGGGGUUCUGAGAGGAAGGU